rnacentral:rRNA from 1 species
CAUGAAGUCGGAAUUGCUAGUAAUCGCGGAUCAGCAUGCCGCGGUGAAUACGUUCCCGGGCCUUGUACACACCGCCCGUCACACCAUGGGAGCCGGUAAUACCCGAAGUCAGUAGUCCAACCUCGUGAGGACGCUGCCGAAGGUAGGAUUGGCGACUGGGGUGAAGUCGUAACAAGGUAGC